rnacentral:rRNA from 1 species
GACGAACGCUGGCGGCGUGCUUAACACAUGCAAGUCGAACGGUGAACUCCGCUUGCGGGGGGAUCAGUGGCGAACGGGUGAGUAACACGUGGGCAACCUGCCCUCAGCUCUGGGAUAACUCCACGAAAUUGGGGCUAAUACCGGAUAUGACCGCUGACCGCAUGGUCUGGUGGUGGAAAGAUUUAUCGGCUGGGGAUGGGCCCGCGGCCUAUCAGCUUGUUUGUGGGGUAGUGGCCUACCAAGGCGACGACGGGUAGCCGGCCUGCGAGGGUGACCGGCCACACUGGGACUGAGACACGGCCCAGACUCCUACGGGAGGCAGCAGUGGGGAAUAUUGCGCAAUGGGCGAAAGCCUGACGCAGCGACGCCGCGUGGGGGAUGACGGCCUUCGGGUUGUAAACCUCUUUCAGCAGGGACGAAGCGAAAGUGACGGUACCUGCAGAAGAAGCACCGGCCAACUACGUG